rnacentral:misc_RNA from 1 species
GAUGAAGAACGCAGCGAAAUGCGAUAAGUAAUGUGAAUUGCAGAAUUCAGUGAAUCAUCGAAUCUUUGAACGCACAUUGCGCCCGCCAGUAUUCUGGCGGGCAUGCCUGUUCGAGCGUCAUUUCAACCAUCAAGCCCCCGGCUUGUGUUGGGGACCUGCGGCUGCCGCAGGCCCUGAAAAGCAGUGGCGGGCUCGCUGUCACACCGAGCGUAGUAGCAUACAUCUCGCUCUGGGCGUGCUGCGGGUUCCGGCCGUUAAACCACCUUCAUAACCCAAGGUUGACCUCGGAUCAGGUAGGGUUACCCGCUGAACUUAAGCAUAUCAAUAAGCGGAGGA